rnacentral:rRNA from 1 species
AGCCGGCGAUGUCCGAAUGGGGAAACCCAGUGCAAUUCGUUGCACUAUCGUUAACUGAAUACAUAGGUUAACGAGGCGAACCGGGGGAACUGAAACAUCUAAGUACCCCGAGGAAAAGAAAUCAACCGAGAUUCCCCCAGUAGCGGCGAGCGAACGGGGAGCAGCCCAGAGUCUGAAUCAGCUUGUGUGUUAGUGGAACGGUCUGGAAAGUCCGACGGUACAGGGUGAUAGUCCCGUACACCAAAAUGCACAGGCUGUGAACUCGAAGAGUAGGGCGGGACACGUGGUAUCCUGUCUGAAUAUGGGGGGACCAUCCUCCAAGGCUAAAUACUCCUGACUGACCGAUAGUGAACCAGUACCGUGAGGGAAAGGCGAAAAGAACCCCGGCGAGGGGAGUGAAAAAGAACCUGAAACCGUGUACGUACAAGCAGUGGGAGCACCUUCGGGUGUGACUGCGUACCUUUUGUAUAAUGGGUCAGCGACUUAUAUUCUGUAGCAAGGUUAACCGUAUAGGGGAGCCGCAGGGAAACCGAGUCUUAACUGGGCGUUAAGUUGCAGGGUAUAGACCCGAAACCCGGUGAUCUAGCCAUGGGCAGGUUGAAGGUUGGGUAACACUAACUGGAGGACCGAACCGACUAAUGUUGAAAAAUUAGCGGAUGACUUGUGGCUGGGGGUGAAAGGCCAAUCAAACCGGGAGAUAGCUGGUUCUCCCCGAAAGCUAUUUAGGUAGCGCCUCGUGAAUUCAUCUUCGGGGGUAGAGCACUGUUUCGGCUAGGGGGUCAUCCCGACUUACCAACCCGAUGCAAACUACGAAUACCGAAGAAUGUUAUCACGGGAGACACACGGCGGGUGCUAACGUCCGUCGUGAAGAGGGAAACAACCCAGACCGCCAGCUAAGGUCCCAAAGUCAUGGUUAAGUGGGAAACGAUGUGGGAAGGCACAGACAGCCAGGAUGUUGGCUUAGAAGCAGCCAUCAUUUAAAGAAAGCGUAAUAGCUCACUGGUCGAGUCGGCCUGCGCGGAAGAUGUAACGGGGCUAAACCAUGCACCGAAGCUGCGGCAGCGACACUAUGUGUUGUUGGGUAGGGGAGCGUUCUGUAAGCCUGCGAAGGUGACCUGUGAGGGUUGCUGGAGGUAUCAGAAGUGCGAAUGCUGACAUAAGUAACGAUAAAGCGGGUGAAAAGCCCGCUCGCCGGAAGACCAAGGGUUCCUGUCCAACGUUAAUCGGGGCAGGGUGAGUCGACCCCUAAGGCGAGGCCGAAAGGCGUAGUCGAUGGGAAACAGGUUAAUAUUCCUGUACUUGGUGUUACUGCGAAGGGGGGACGGAGAAGGCUAUGUUAGCCGGGCGACGGUUGUCCCGGUUUAAGCAUGUAGGCUGGUUAUCCAGGCAAAUCCGGAUAAUCAAGGCUGAGGUGUGAUGACGAGGCACUACGGUGCUGAAGUAACAAAUGCCCUGCUUCCAGGAAAAGCCUCUAAGCAUCAGGUAACAUCAAAUCGUACCCCAAACCGACACAGGUGGUCAGGUAGAGAAUACCAAGGCGCUUGAGAGAACUCGGGUGAAGGAACUAGGCAAAAUGGUGCCGUAACUUCGGGAGAAGGCACGCUGGUGUGUAGGUGAAGCCCCUGCGGGUGGAGCUGAGACCAGUCGAAGAUACCAGCUGGCUGCAACUGUUUAUUAAAAACACAGCACUGUGCAAACACGAAAGUGGACGUAUACGGUGUGACGCCUGCCCGGUGCCGGAAGGUUAAUUGAUGGGGUUAUCCGUAAGGAGAAGCUCUUGAUCGAAGCCCCGGUAAACGGCGGCCGUAACUAUAACGGUCCUAAGGUAGCGAAAUUCCUUGUCGGGUAAGUUCCGACCUGCACGAAUGGCGUAAUGAUGGCCAGGCUGUCUCCACCCGAGACUCAGUGAAAUUGAACUCGCUGUGAAGAUGCAGUGUACCCGCGGCAAGACGGAAAGACCCCGUGAACCUUUACUAUAGCUUGACACUGAACAUUGAGCCUUGAUGUGUAGGAUAGGUGGGAGGCUUUGAAGCGUGGACGCCAGUCUGCGUGGAGCCAACCUUGAAAUACCACCCUUUAAUGUUUGAUGUUCUAACGUUGGCCCCUGACCGGGGUUGCGGACAGUGUCUGGUGGGUAGUUUGACUGGGGCGGUCUCCUCCUAAAGCGUAACGGAGGAGCACGAAGGUUAGCUAAUCCUGGUCGGACAUCAGGAGGUUAGUGCAAUGGCAUAAGCUAGCUUGACUGCGAGCGUGACGGCGCGAGCAGGUGCGAAAGCAGGUCAUAGUGAUCCGGUGGUUCUGAAUGGAAGGGCCAUCGCUCAACGGAUAAAAGGUACUCCGGGGAUAACAGGCUGAUACCGCCCAAGAGUUCAUAUCGACGGCGGUGUUUGGCACCUCGAUGUCGGCUCAUCACAUCCUGGGGCUGAAGUAGGUCCCAAGGGUAUGGCUGUUCGCCAUUUAAAGUGGUACGCGAGCUGGGUUUAGAACGUCGUGAGACAGUUCGGUCCCUAUCUGCCGUGGGCGCUGGAGAAUUGAGGGGGGCUGCUCCUAGUACGAGAGGACCGGAGUGGACGCAUCACUGGUGUUCGGGUUGUCAUGCCAAUGGCACUGCCCGGUAGCUAAAUGCGGAAGAGAUAAGUGCUGAAAGCAUCUAAGCACGAAACUUGCCCCGAGAUGAGUUCUCCCUGAGACUUUAAGUCUCCUGAAGGAACGUU